ACUCCUACGGGAGGCAGCAGUAGGGAAUCUUCCACAAUGGACGAAAGUCUGAUGGAGCAACGCCGCGUGAACGAUGAAGGCUUUCGGGUCGUAAAGUUCUGUUGUAAGGGAAGAACAAGUGCCGCAGGCAAUGGCGGCACCUUGACGGUACCUUGCGAGAAAGCCACGGCUAACUACGUGCCAGCAGCCGCGGUAAU
rnacentral:rRNA from 1 species